rnacentral:rRNA from 1 species
AUCGGUAAGAGAUCAGCUUGUACAGUAUCAGUUAGUUGGUGGGGUAAUGGCUUACCAAGACUAUGACGCUUAACUGGUUUGAGAGGAUGAUCAGUCACACUGGAACUGAGACACGGUCCAGACUCCUACGGGAGGCAGCAGUGGGGAAUAUUGCACAAUGGACGAAAGUCUGAUGCAGCAACGCCGCGUGGAGGAUGACACAUUUCGGUGCGUAAACUCCUUUUAUAUGAGAAGAUAAUGACGGUAUCAUAUGAAUAAGCACCGGCUAACUCCGUGCCAGCAGCCGCGGUAAUACGGGGGGUGCAAGCGUUACUCGGAAUCACUGGGCGUAAAGAGCAUGUAGGCGGAUUGAUAAGUUUGAAGUGAAAUCCUAUAGCUUAACUAUAGAACUGCUUUGAAAACUGUUAAUCUAGAAUGCGGGAGAGGUAGAUGGAAUUUCUGGUGUAGGGGUAAAAUCCGUAGAGAUCAGAAGGAAUACCGAUUGCGAAGGCGAUCUACUGGAACACUAUUGACGCUGAGAUGCGAAAGCGUGGGGAGCAAACGGGAUUAGAUACCCCGGUAGUCCACGCCCUAAACGAUGCACACUAGUUGUUGUGAGGCUAGACCUUGCAGUAAUGCAGUUAACACAUUAAGUGU